rnacentral:RNase_P_RNA from 1 species
GGUGAAAACGUGCGGUAAGAGCGCACGCUCCGCCGUAGCAAUACGGAGGAGGGGUAAACCUCGUGGGUUGAAAUGCCAUGUACACCCCGAUUCUGCCACCAGGUAGCGCCUCCGGGCCUGCAGGGUAGCGGUACUGGGUUGCUCGCUCAGUUCUUCCUUCGGGACGUAUUCGGGGGGGGUAGGCAGAUAGAGCCCGCUGGUGACAGCGGGCCUAGAUAAAUGAUAGAGGCCGGGAGGCGGGCUGCUUGCCUGCUGUCCCGGAACAGAAUCCGGCUUACAGGCCUGCAGCAGAA